rnacentral:rRNA from 1 species
AUUGAACGCUGGCGGCAUGCUUUACACAUGCAAGUCGAACGGUAACAGGUUAAGCUGACGAGUGGCGAACGGGUGAGUAAUGCAUCGGAACGUGCCCGAUCGUGGGGGAUAACGCAGCGAAAGCUGCGCUAAUACCGCAUACGAUCUGAGGAUGAAAGCGGGGGACCGUAAGGCCUCGCGCGAUCGGAGCGGCCGAUGUCAGAUUAGGUAGUUGGUGGGGUAAAGGCGCACCAAGCCGACGAUCUGUAGCUGGUCUGAGAGGACGACCAGCCACACUGGGACUGAGACACGGCCCAGACUCCUACGGGAGGAAGCAGUGGGGAAUUUUGGACAAUGGGCGCAAGCCUGAUCCAGCAAUGCCGCGUGCAGGAAGAAGGCCUUCGGGUUGUAAACUGCUUUUGUACGGAGCGAAAAGGCUCUCUCUAAUACAGGGGGCUCAUGACGGUACCGUAAGAAUAAGCACCGGCUAACUACGUGCCAGCCGCCGCGGUAA